GCACAUGGCCUAGUGGUUAGGGCAUUUGACUCACAACCAUAAGGUCAUGAGUUCGAUUCCCAGUGAUGCG
rnacentral:tRNA from 1 species